GGGAGAGGUGGGGGUUUUCUCUGUUUCUGGCCAUAGUCGAGUGAAAAUGAACUGAAGUGUUGCCUUCCAAAAAGCGAAGCUUUGGGAAGACAGGAAGCACAGCGGAUGUGACGUCCCCAGAAGCUCGUCUGAUCUUGGUCAGCAGGCGGUGCUCCUGGCCUUUGAGGCAGAAGCUCAGAAAUGGGGCUAAUGCACGUGGCGCUGGUGAAGCCGUCCGUCUGCACGUUACAGUUCAGGGGAGGUGUGGACCCGAGUUAGAUAGAGUCUGUAUCGUGAGACUGUGAGUCCAAGCGGGCCUCACCCCAUCCCCCACUUAAUCACCGGGCUUCCCUCGGUCCCAUCUGCCAUGUUCUGAUGAUUCAGCGACCGUCAUGGGGUCACCCCCCUAUAUGUCAGCAGCUCUGCUGGGCAGUGAGAAGCCUGACUCUGUAGGACGUUUGCGUUUGAAAACGGGGAACGCCUUCCUCCGUGGACCAGCCUGCGGCCCAGAGAGCUGCCUCCUAGAUCAGCACCACCCGCCUGUGCUUUGUGUGCCCCAUCCAGUACGGUCCUCGCCCACCCCACGGGCCACCGAGCACUCAGGUGUAGCUAGUGUGACUGAGGAUGUCAGGUGUUCACUCGCUUGACUCAGUCAAGGUGGACAGUGGCCACCAUGUUGGGGAGCGUGGUUCCGGAGGCGGCAGGAGGCCAGGGCUCAUGCUCGCUGCUCGCAGAUGUUCCAGCUCGUAACCCUCCUGUAAGUAAGUCCCGUCCGAACUGAUGGGAAUUGAUGCUUGUUCGAGUGCUGUGCCACAUGGGUGAGAAAUGAGAGGGUAAAUAACAUUUCCUAACUGCGAAUAAGGCCCCAUGCUCUGGACGAGUACGGUUUCUUAUCUGGUUUCUGGCUGAGCCUCAGCAGACAUACAGGAAAUGGGAAAAUCAAUGGCCAUGCUUUUUUAAGAGUGGCGGCUCAAAAAAGCAAUUCUUAAAUAUUUAUGAACUUUAUUUUACAAAUUCAGAUCAUUGAAAUGCAACAGAAGAACAAAGUGGCAGCCACCUCCGUUGUUUGCACAGCUGAAUUAGUUUUUCUGGAAUUCACUGUAAAGUCUGCUUUAAAAUAAUU
rnacentral:lncRNA from 1 species